UAGCUAUGCUAAACAAAAAGAAGGAAUUAAUAUCAGUCCAAGAGAGGGUAAUCCGCAACCCUUAAAACGCUCAAGUAUCUCCAAGGAAAGGGAUAGUCCACUCUCUGCCUCAAAGAACUAAGCACUGAUAUUGUGAUUGAGAAAAUAUCAGUUUAGAGGAAGGUAAUCCGCAACCCCUAAAGCGCUAGAAUACCUUCAAGAAGAGGCGUAAUCCGCUCUCAAACAAGAAGGAUUCAGCUCUGAUAUUAAGAUAAAGGCAGUCUC
rnacentral:lncRNA from 1 species